UAGUUAUUUGGCAGAUUCAUCAUUAAAUUUUUAUCUUCCUUAAAUGAACUCUUAAAUUAUGAUGAAGUCCUUAGAACCACAAUCAAUCGAUAAAGGAAGAUUUAUCGGAUGGUUCUUAAAUUGUUCACAACUAAAUGAUAAGUUAUUAACAAGGACGAUAACUUAUCAAGUGUAGGUCGCUAUAUGCCAUAUGCGUUGGUUAUCCUCGUAACCAAGUGGUGUGGAGCACUGGUAUGGCACCCAGAUGAGAUGUAGGAGUACAUCUGCAUUGAACGUGACCAAUGUAACACUCUACUGUCAAAAGUAGUUAGCUAAGACCAAUGGGUAUAAGUGUCCCUCCGACUUGAGAUCACCACGAUGACUUGCAAGCAACUCACUAUGCUUUGGUGCCGGAUUGCCUGUAUUUUUAAUAUAGGUUCGAAAAGUUUUUGGAUACAGUCAAGUACUUGUGAAGUUGGUGUGUGAGUCAAGAUGGGAUUGACCACUCCUGAUUAACUUUAAGAAGAGAAUAUCUCGCUAGUGUUUCAAUUUAGCAAAACCUAGGCCUGGGUAAUCUUCGUGAGGAGUCACGAG
rnacentral:lncRNA from 1 species